CAGAAUUAAAAUUUCAGUAUUAAGAAAUGACAUUGGAAAAAAAAAAAGAAAGAAAUGACAUUGGAGAACUGAGGCAGCUGUUGGAUCAAAAAAUGGCUUUUGUGGGAGGAGCUGUCCAGAGAUAAUUCAAUUCCCUGGAUGAAUAUUUGGGAUACAAAGAAAUUCUCUGAAGAUACAUUCACUUUUAUGGACUAGGACUACAAGGGACAGACUGGAAUUAUGUGCCAUCAGCCAUGACCACCUGUGGACACCAGAAAUUGGCAAAGGCAAGGAAGAUUUCUUUCUCUAGAACCUUUGAAGGGGGCAUGGCCCUGCCAACAUACUGAGUUCAGAAUUCUAACCUCCAAAACUGUGAGAGAGCAAAUUUAUGUUGUUUUCAGCCAUUCCAUUCAUCGUACUUUGUUAUGGUAACCCCUAUAAACUAAUAAAAAUCCCAUUUAAAGCUUAAAAUGUUAACAACCAACAAUUCCUUUAUAUAAGUUGUU